rnacentral:misc_RNA from 1 species
AUUCAGUUGUUUUCACCACCCAACGUAUAAAAGGAUAGCAAUAAAUUUUAAUAGAAAAUUGAACCCAUUAGGCACAAGCAGCCGCAGAUUAUUUACUUCUUGUUUGGGCCGUAGCUUGGGCUUUUGGGUUCAUUCUCUAUGCCAAAUCUUAUUUGUUUGUUUUUCAAAAAAAAAAAAUUGUUUGUAUUUUCUACAAUAGGCUGAAAAUGAAAUAUUUAGUUCAUUGAGAUAUUUUUCAAAUACUUGUUUUUUUACAAGUUCUAAUAUUUUGAACUUUUCAACAGUGACAUACACAAUUUACAGA